UACGUAGGUGGCAAGCGUUGUCCGGAUUUACUGGGCGUAAAGAGCGCGCAGGCGGUCGAUUUAGUCGCGUGUGAAAGCCCCCGGCUCAACUGGGGAGGGUCACGCGAUACUGAUCGACUCGAAGGCAGGAGAGGGUAGUGGAAUUCCCGGUGUAGUGGCGAAAUUCGUAGAUAUCGAGAGGAACACCGGUGGCGAAGGCGGCCAACUGGACGAAUACUGACGCUGAGACUCGAAAGCGUGGGGAGCAAACAGG
rnacentral:rRNA from 1 species